CCUACGGGAGGCAGCAGUGAGGAAUAUUGGUCAAUGGACGAGAGUCUGAACCAGCCAAGUAGCGUGAAGGAUGACUGCCCUAUGGGUUGUAAACUUCUUUUAUAUGGGAAUAAAAUGUUCCACGUGUGGGAUUUUGUAUGUACCAUAUGAAUAAGGAUCGGCUAACUCCGUGCCAGCAGCCGCGGUAAUACGGAGGAUCCGAGCGUUAUCCGGAUUUAUUGGGGUUAAAGGGAGCGUAGGUGGAUUGUUAAGUCAGUUGUGAAAGUUUGUGGCUCAACCGUAAAAUUGCAGUUGAAACUGGCAGUCUUGAGUACAGGAGAGGUGGGCGGAAUUCGUGGUGUAGCGGUGAAAUGCUUAGAUAUCACGAAGAACUCCGAUUGCGAAGGCAGCUCACUGGACUGCAACUGACACUGAGGCUCGAAAGUGUGGGGAUCAAACAGGAUUAGAUACCCGGGUAGUC
rnacentral:rRNA from 1 species